rnacentral:lncRNA from 1 species
CUGUCAGUAUGGUGAGCACAACGAACGAAAGAUGGGCUUCUUCAAAUUGGAAAGGAAAAGAGCCGAUCUCCGAAAACACGACUACUGAUGCAACACCAGAUGCAGUUUGGUCGGAAAAAUUCAAAGAAUUUGAGGUAUUUUAAAUAUAUUUCAAUAAUUUUGUUGAUUAUCGAACUUAUUUUUGUUUUCAUUUUCAGAACAAGUGUAACGAGAGUCAGAAAGACGUCUCCAAAUACAAAAAAAAGUUCGAUGCAAUGAAAUCUUAUAUGAAGAAACUCAAUAAGACUUUGAAAACUUCCGGACUCGACAUGACGCAUAUGGCUUCCACUUCAAAGUCCACCAUACCGUCUGUAUUCGAAUCAGAUAUUUCGGAUUCUGAUUCAGAAGACUCGAUUUCAGACGAGUGUUGAUUAAACUAUUUUUAUAUUUUCUUAUUCAAACAUCGAAUGUUUACGAUUAUAUAUUUUAGUUUAUUUUCAAUAAAAACAUCGAUUUCAAUUUCAAUUUCAAAAUCGAUUUCUCAAAUAUCGAUUUCUAUUUCAAAAAACAACGAUUCGAAUGCAAAAUAUAGAAUCCCGUUUUAAAAAAAAAAUGAAACAAACAUUGUAUGACGGAUUUCUGCCAUCUAUACUCUUCUACUAAGGUUUAGAUGGCGGAAAUCCGCCAUCUAAUGUUACAAAGAUAGUCGACGGACAUCCGUCAUCAAUAAAAUUAACCGUCAUCAAUGAAUUGACGCCAAACUUUUUCUACACCAUAUAUUUUAGAUGGCGGAUUUCCGUCAUCUAAAAAUUUUCAGUUCCCGCGUAAAUUUUCAGAUUAGAUGACGAAAAUCCGUCAUCUAUACAAUUUUGGGUGGAAAAUGAGGAUGGAUAAUAGAUGACGGUUACGAGGUUUUAAUGCGGUGUCCAAGAUGACGGUCUUUAGAUGGCGGAAAUCCACCAUCUAAAGACCGUCAUACAAUGUAUUAUUUCUUGUAGUGUUUUUUCAAAUGAAAUAUCUCUGAUUAGGGUUCUAUUAAUCUAUUUCUAGUGUAGUACCAAUGUCAAGUGCAACCACCCUCCCUUUGUUCUAAGAGGUUAGUAUUUAUUGACUUUCAUCUACCUUCGGGUCAGGUCGGACCCGGCCGAGAUUGGACUGAACAGACCUGGGAGUGUUUCUGGGUCGCUCCAGUAGAUCGAGGGUAUAAUCAGUACUCUCCUCGAUGGGUCUGGUCUGUUGAUACUCUUGUUGGGUAUGUUGAUACUCUUGUAUAAUUGGAGUAAUCAGUUUUUUUUUUUUGAAACAAUAAGGAAUUAAUUCAAACUGGAUGAUGAUUAGG